rnacentral:rRNA from 1 species
UACGUAGGGUGCAAGCGUUGUCCGGAAUUACUGGGCGUAAAGCGUGCGCAGGCGGCUAUGCAAGACAGAUGUGAAAUCCCCGGGCUCAACCUGGGAACUGCAUUUGUGACUGCAUGGCUAGAGUACGGUAGAGGGGGGAUGGAAUUCCGCGUGUAGCAGUGAAAUGCGUAGAUAUGCGGAGGAACACCGAUGGCGAAGGCAAUCCCCUGGACCUGUACUGACGCUCAUGCACGAAAGCGUGGGGAGCAAACAGG